GCUCGUGUACAGCGUGACGUCACGUCUCUUGGCAGUGAGGAGAUCUUGUUCUUUAGAGUCCUUGGUUUUCACCUCGCCAUUGCUCUUCGUCGUGGGUCGUUCUGGCUUUGGUUUCCGAAUCCGAAACACUUAGGAAAAUUUUGUUCAACUGACUCGAGCUCAAGUGGGUACUCUGAAACUACAGAGGGAUUGCCAUUGUAACAUCUCAAAGCUGAGGACUCAACCUUGAGUUAGCACCAGACUGACAAGUCACUUCCCGGGAAGCAUCUUCCUGAAUUUGAAUAGAUGAAUUUAUCGGAAUUCGGACCUGAUGGGCUAGUCAUUCCGUGGCAGAUCUUCCUAAGAUCUUGAAUCUAGGAGUUUUUUAGAUUGAGUAUCCUCAAUUAUUUUUGUCAAUGCCGAAGCACUAAAUAUUCCAACCCAUAACUGCUUAUUCCCCAUAGUACUCAUGUUCUUGUAGUAGAAAACUUGAAUGCUUUAAUUACUGUUCAUUUUCUUUUAAGUGUUUGAUUGAAGGUUUCUUGAUAGCUAGCAAUUCAUGGCUUGAGGUUAAACUUUUGUUAGUCUAACUUAAUCUGAUGAAAAUCAAACUUAAUCCGAAGUACUUCUCACCUAUGUGGCUUGGUUCCUAUCUAAGCAUAGUUCUCUUGAUUAUAAUACAUUAAAUUAAUCGGACAGCUUGUAACUAUUUGAAUUUUGCCUGAGAUACAAAUGGAGUACCACUGGAACUAAAGCCACUGCACAGUACAUUAAAAAAUACUAAGCACACUAAAAGUAAUUUUUAAUUGAUUGUAGAUUGUGAUUACAAUUUUACUGGGUGCAUAGAAAAUUAUAAAAAUAUUUGACAUUUUUAAAAUAAAAUUAACCAUUUUAAUGAAAGAUUUCGAUAAAUCCUGCUAACUUAGUUUGUAGUCCUACAUCUCUUGAAAUUUUGUGGGAGAUUAACCCAGAAUAUAGAUACCUUAGCCACACUAGGGCUGAAAGCUGCAGGACAAAUUUAAUACAGACUGUUCUGGUAGUGAUGAAUGCGGUCUUUCAUGAAGGAUCUCAAGAAAUUGGGGUAUACACCAUACUUCCAUUCAGGCUAAGGUUCAGAUUUUUCUCAGUCUUAUGGGAGUAGACUAUUCGCAAAGCCACGCCAACUUGAACAAUCAAGUCAGUCAUGUGACCUAUCUUUCACAAGUUAGCUGCUACAAAAAAAAAGAAACAAAGAUAUUACAGAGGAACAAGACGAGACUUUAAAGUUUCAGAGGCAUAUUCCAUAGCAAGAAAAAGUUUAGAAAUUCUUUCUUGGGGAUAGAAUGCAACUUUGUUGUAACGUUCCUGAAGAUGAUUGCAAGAUGCAGCAGAAAUUAAUCUUUCGACUGUGCAAUGUUGCAAGAUGCAACUUAGUUACUUUAGAGGACUUUGUACAACGUUCCUGAAGGUGAUUAGAAGAUGCAGCAGAUUCAUCUUGGAUUCAUUGCAGCUUCAUGAUCUAGCAGUGAUUUGUCUUGGUUAAUUCCAUUGUCGCACGCAGAGAUUCUUGUUACCGGAUAUGGCAACAGCCCUACAGAUGCAGCAGUGAUUCUCAUCUUGGGCUUGCAUAAUGCAAGCUCUGUUAGGUAAUGCUCCUGAAAAUGGAGCAAAAAUUAUUCGUUCUGUGAACACCCUAGGUUAAAUAUUAGUCCAGGUCACCGAGUAUAUAUGGCAUCCUGAUUUUAUAAUAAAAGUUAAGUCAGAGUUAUAUAUGCAAAAAUGAAGCAGAAAUAAUUCAUUCUGUAAUCACCCUAGGUUAAAUCAAGAUUAUAUGUCACAGAGUAAAUAUGGAAAGUUCCCAGAGAUAGCAGCCAGGAAGAGCGAUAUCGUACACAAGUUCAAGAGGUACACUAAGUAUGCAGCGAAACAGGAGGAGUGAUAUUGUAUUCUCCAGAAAUGGCAGCAUUUAUAGAAUUUCAUCCCUUUCGACAUCUAGAUCUUUUCUACGGGAACUUUGUUCUUCAGAUAUUCUGUUCAGGAUAAGUAGCUCAUGUAUUUUAACCCCUUGAACCCUGUCCACUGCAGGAACUAUUUGUGUAUUUCUUCUUCGAAUAUUCUCUUCUGGCUCAGCACCAUCUAUAUAACUAUCUCUUCUGGCACAGCAGCAUCUAUAUAACCAUCUCCAUCAAGAACUACUAGUUAUCUCUUCUUUAACUUUCUCUAAUACAAGAACAUCUUGUGUAGACUUAUCCUCUUCUUUGACUUCUCUAAUACAGGAUCACCAUCUUAUGUUGACUUCUCCUCUUCACAAACUAGUUGUGUUUCUUAGACUAUUCUCUUCAUGAAGAGCAGCAUUUUGUAGAUUUUCGCCCAAUAUUAGUUUCUUCUUAGACUAGUUUCUUCUACAGGAACAGCAACUUAUGUAGACUUCUGUCCCCUUCAGAAGCUUGUGUUUUUUCACCUAUUUUCUUUCUUCCGUAACAUCCCCUGUAGGCUAGUGUUUCUUCAACUAUUCUUUUUCUACCGUAACAUCCCCUGUAGACUUCUCUCCCAGUCAGAUAUAGCGUAUGUUAAUAUAGUUAUCUCACUUUCAAAAACGGCUUAUUUUCCUUGCUUGGUGUUCUGUUUCUCUCUCAAGUGUUCAAUGGUGCUCCUUUUAAUCUUCUCUCUCCUUUAGAAACACCUAACGUUGCCUUUCUUCUUAUAUCCCUGUUGUCGACAUCCCACCUCUAGUAACAUCCCACCUCUAGUAACUGCAAAAAAACAAAUUGGAUUGCCAGAAUAUUCAAAAUAACUUCCUGUAAACUUAAAUGGUUUUUAAUGCCUUUACAUUUCGGUUGUAAACUUGGGUAGAACUAAAAUAUAGUUCGAUAUUGACAUAUCAACAAUUCUUGCCACAAAAUUGUGAAAUGAGCAUAAGAUUGAAAACGUGACAAGAAAAUUUUAUACAAAUUAUGUUGCAAUAAAGUUUACCUGGGGCUGCAUGUUUGCAAAAUUAUCCCAUAAUAAUGAGAAAAUUUUGUGUAUCGUAUAAAAUGGAGCAAAACGAUAAACAGCAGUUGCUAGCUCAUGACAGGCUCUCAAGAUCUGAUUAGUUAACGAAUACCUUACAUCUUGCAAGACCGUCAAAAUUGCAUUGCAGUUUAAUUUUAAUAUACUUAGAAAUUCAGGUAAUAAUGGUUGGAAAUACAAAAGAAUGAAUCAAGG